rnacentral:tRNA from 1 species
GGGAAUAUGGUUCAGUGGCAAAACAUCUGCUUCGCAUGCAGGUCUCAUGUUUAAUUCCUGGCAUCUCCA